ensembl:lncRNA
CAGCUCUUUGCGACCCCAUGGACUGCAGCACAUCAGGCUUCCCUGUCCUUCACUGUCUCGAAAAGUUUUCUCAAACUCAUGUCCAUUGAGUCAGUGAUGCUAUCUAGCCAUCUCAUCCUCUGUCGUCUCCUUCUCCUCGUGCUUUCUAUCUUCACCAGCAUCAGGGUCUUUUCCCAAUGAAUCGGCUCUUCAUAUCAGAUGGCCAGAGUACUGGAGCUUCAGCUUCAGCAUCAGUCCUUCCAAUGAAUAUUCAGAGUUGAUUUCCAUUAGGACUGACUGGUAGGAUCUCCUUGCAGUCCAAAGGACUCUCAAGAGUCUUCUCCAGCACCACAGUUCAAAAGCAACAAUGGGAUAUUAUUCAGCCAUAAAAAGGGGUUAAGUACUGAUUGACAUCACAACUUUAUGUUGUAAUGUUAAAACGUUAUGUUGGACCUGCCUGGUGGAGCAGUAGGUGGUAAUCUGCCUGCCAAUGCAGGAGACACAGGUUUGAUCCCUGGUCUGGGAGGAUUCCACAUGCCUCGGAGCAGCUAAGCCCGUGCACCACAACUACUGAGCCCAAGCUCUAGGGCCCGAGGACUGCUACUACUGAGCCCAAAUGCUACACCUACUGAAGCCUGAACAGCUAGAGCCACUGCUCUGCAGCAAGAGAAACCACUGCAAUGAGAAGUCCACGCACCGCAAUGAAGAGUAGCCUCCACUCGCCACAACUAGAGAAAGCCCGUGCAAAGCAAUGAAGACCGAGCAGAGCCGAAAAAAAGACUGUUAAGUGAACCGAGCCAGACACUAAGGAAUGGCAUAACUAGAACGGGCAAAUCCAGAGAAACAGCGCAGAUUGGCGGUUGACACAGGAAGUGGGGAGGGAGGAGAUGGGAGGUGAUUAUUAAAGUUCAAGAGCACUUCCGGGUGAGGAACAAGCUGUGAAAUGAGAAAGAUGGUGGCUGCCCAACUCCACAAAAGGGCAAAUUCAGUCCCUGUUACUCCAUCUCAGAUGGAAGAAAGUCCUCAGUGUGUCUAUGAAGACGCCAGGACUCAGGUACUAAGCCUCUGUCCAAGGUGAAGCGGCCACUAAGGGGCCCGGUGUGAGUCCAGCUGGAUCUGGCCACCCGGCCUGGCAUUCUCCACCCUGCCUCACUGCUCCUGAGAAAGCAGGAAGAGCUGGCAGUAGAGGAGAGCAGAGGACAGCAGACUUCGCCACCGCUGCAGAAAAGCUGCGCGCAGCACUGCCACCAGCUUUAGAAGCCAAUGUGAUGAUUAUUCUGCAUAAAGUUACCCGUUAAAUAGCAACUUUCAGCAUCUUCCAAGCUUCACCUUAAAUGCUCCCUCUGCAUCUUCAGAGGCCUCUGGGCCCUGUUCCUGUGUGUUUACCAUCUGUCUGCCAAGGAUGCUGGGACUGGCUCCCCACAGUCACUCAGUGAUGCACAAUACAAUGUGACUGCUUGGACAGUCUCCCCCAUUAUCCUUCCAUAUUUUCUGUUGACUCCAAAGACCUAAUUGGUGGAAUUACAGCAGCUCUGAUAUGUGUGUAUGUGUUCAUGCACGUGUGUGUGUGUAUGUUGAUCUGGAGACAAGAAAGCAGGGAGGGGGGUCCCUCUUUUUAUCACACUACUUGACUUGAGCACCAGGGAUCUAUUUAGCUUAGAGGGACUGGGAGAGAGGAAACUUCCUUUAAAAUCACGUGGGAUGCCUGGCUUUGACCAGACUCUGCACAGACUCUGAUGGGAGAGAAGAAAGCAGAAGAGCCAG